UUUUGGAGGUAAAGGAUAUUUAUGGUAUAGAUUGUGUUGAUGGUUUCACAGGUAUAUACAUAUCUCCAAACACAUCAAGUUGUAUACAUUAACCAUCUACAGCUUUUUGUAUGUCAAUCUACCCCAAAAAAGAGGUUUUAGAAAAAAAACUAAUAGUAGGAGUAAAAAGACAGAGAAUUGAAAAAAAAUAAUAAAUAAAUAAGGAUUUGCAAUGGCUAUGCACCUAUUAGUCAGAUUUGUCUCCUUCAUCCUCUUGCCUUGCUCCCCCCAUCAUCUCACUCACAUAUUCCCACUCCCUUUCUCACUCGGUUCCUCACCUGCUUCACCAAUCUCUUUCUUGACAUUCUCAUGGGUCUCCUAAAUCAUUUCUCUAAGUUCCCUAUAAACUUCAACUCUGUCCUUCUCUGGAGCCAGGCAUUAUUUCUUAGAGGCUGUCAGGCCCAAGUUUAUAAUGCGAUCUCUUCCGUAGAGACCAUCCCCUCCCACAAAUAUAAAUCUGCCAUCACGAAAUAAAGAUGUAGGUUUUAAUCCUGGCAUUUUAUUCUCUGCUCCUGACUACUUUGUAAUUUGGGACAGGUGAAUUCUAAUAUCGGUAUUUCGAUGCCUUCUUGUGUUUGUUGUUCUGAGGGACUAGAGAGCUACAAACAUUUUAUAAAUAGCCCGCUUCAUUUGGCUGGCCCCUGAAUUCCCCAGAUGUCAGGACACCAGUUAAAAUAAUUUCUGAUGGCCUGAACCUGUUAUCACUUCAGGCUCUGAGCCCGGACCUUUGCAAAUCAGUCAGCAGAGAGGCGGUUUACUAUUCUCACAUUUUUAAAGGCUUCUUCUGUUAAUAUUGCUUGACCAGAUUUUCUUUCGCUAGAAGGCAUGAGAUCAGUGUUGUGACAUCUAACAACGGCUUUUGCUCCUCGUCCCGCAGUGUCUGGGGAAUUGGUCAACUCUGCCUGCCUCUGCGCCCUGUUUUUCACUGCUUUCUCUCCUGGCCUCUGCUCCUCAUUCCCAGCACCAAGAAAGGCUGGGGUGGGGAGAGGGCGGGAAGUAUGUCCUUUCUAAUCUAUGCCUCUUCUUAUUUCUUUUCUGUGCAGUGUGUAUACACCCACUCCUAACUCAUUUUCAGCUUUUGGUCAAUAAUUCGCUCAAAUAUUUACGGAGUGUCUUCUAUGCACAGGCACCAGGCAGCAGCAAAUCAGAGCUUACAGUCAAACAGCCGGGGGCGGGAGAGCAGACAUUAAACAACUAUUUGUCCACUUAAUGAUUUAAUUAAAAUUUUCAGAAGUGAUAGACGGGAAAGAUGCUAUGAGAACAUGCAAGUGAUGACCCUGCCCUGUCCAGAAGGUCGGGGAGGGCUUUCAUGAAGAAGUAACCUUGAGUUGAGUAGAAAUUAAGGAACAAAGUGGCUAGAGGAGGAGACAGAGGGAAUCAGAGGGGCAGACCAAGAGGUGAAAAGGGUGUGGCCAUUGGAGGCCCUGAAAUAAGGCUCUGGGUGUAGAGUGCAGAGAACAAGGGGCAAGUGCCACAAGAUGAUGAUGGUGAGGCAGGCGGGGCUGGGUUUUGCACAGCCCAGCAGGCCAUAUUAUGGAUUUGGGGCUCUACCUGGAGUAAUGAAAUUUGAAAGAUUCCCAGUCAUCCAUAUCGCCAAUUUCAAGGUCAGCUCUGUAACAGAAGAAAACACAUCCACAUAUAUUGAGACAUAGCCCAAAUCCUAACACCAUUGACAAUUUAUAGGGAACUCCUCCAGCAGCUGCUGCUCUGAGGCUCUACUGUCCUGCCCAGGAAUGUCCCCGGUUACAUCAUGUUAACUGAAACAGCGUUGCGGACAGCAGUCCUGCUAAACGUGCUCAGUCUGGUCCCACCUUGGCCAGAGAUGAGGCUCCUGCCUUCGUGCCAGCAUCACCCCUCAGUGAGUCCAGACAUCUGAUGUACAGCAUGAUGAUUAUAGUUGAUAAUACUGUACUGAAUACUGGAAAUUUGCUAAGAGAGUAGAUUUCAGGUGCUCUCAUGACAAAAAAAAGUGGUAACUAUGGGAUGAGAUGACAAGUUACUUAACUUCACUUAGUAAUCAUUUCACUGUGUAUAUGCAUAUCUAAUCAUCAUGGUGUACACCUUAAAUAUAUACAAUUUUUGUUUUUUAACUAAAUUUAGUUUUUUAUAAAGAGGUUUAAGUCCUCGGCCUCCCAUCUGUGGGCACAUGCAAGGGCACUGGUGAUGUUCAUAAAUGAGAGGCAGAUGGGGCAUUGGACAGAGUCUCACUGCGCAGACGAUCAUGGCUCCAAAUGGAGCCUGCACUGGGCAUCAGGCUGACAGCUGACAGUGGGCGGUCUUUCCGGGUACCAGUGAGAUGACCUCAGGCUGCUUGGCUGCCAACCAGCAACCUGGAACAGGCCGCCUUGCUCGGGUGUUUUUUCAGUCUCACUUCUUUCCACUUGGUCCCAUAGCCCCCUCUUCUCUCUAGCCCGUAGCAUCCAUGUCAGAUGUCUUCCAUUCACCCCUUCAGAUCCACUCUCCAUCCUCUUCCUGGCUCUGUGUUCCAGAAGUUUGACACAUGUGGACUACAUCAACGAGCUCCCUUGCCCUCCAGUUUCCAGUUGAAGUCAGCCCAUGGGAAGCACUAGCAGGAGAGAAGAGAAAGUUGAAUGAUGCUCUGGAACAAUAAAGCUUCCCUUCGUCCAGGAAGAUGAGCCCAUUGAUCCCGGAGUGCUCUGACAUACCACGCUGGACUUCUACGAGCUGAAAAGAUGAAAGACGUUCUCUUCUGUAGUGCAGAAUCAACCCACUUGGCUUUGCCACCACCCGACAGUGAAACGUCGCUAAACACAUGAAAAAACUUCCCAUACCCAGGAGAGCCGGGCCUUGACCCUGAAUCUCCAGGCUCUGAGAAAUCAGAGACAUGGUCCAUUCCAACGUCUGAGACCCCGAGAGAGAAAGCCCAAGGUCGAAGUGAGUUACUGCCACAUCCUGGGACCUGCAACUACCACAAACUCCUCAAGGCAGGAACAGAAACAAAAGCAUUCUUCAAGCCCAGAGUCUGCAGAGUCCCUGGCAAGAAAUAUUUGUUAAGUGGAUAAAUGAAUGAAUGAGAAAAAAAUAAAGGAGCUAAAGAUAAUAGUGGAUUAAAGUCACAGGAGCGACAACCCCCGGCCUUCCAUAAAGCAGCAGUCUGCCCCCAGAAACAAGCGCAGCAUUGCCUGGAGCAGGAGAAGGGCGGCAAGGCUCCCAGCAAGCGGCCAGUCCAGCAGCUGCAGAGAAAGAGACAUUUUUGGAGUCAGAGACAAGUUGCAGGGUUUGUCCAUAGCCCUUUAAUUUUCUAUUACCCCGUGAUUCUUUCCACUUCGGUGACACUCCCAGAUGCUACGAACUGAGCUUUUGGAUCUCCCCAAGGAAUUCAGCAGUGUCAGAUCCUUAGACACAAGACACUCAAUCGUCGGAGGAAUUACUAAAGGGCUCUCCCACCACUGGUUCCAGGGAGGGCUUCCCACUGACAGCCAAAAUAAAAAAAGAAAAAAGGUGC
ensembl:lncRNA